rnacentral:rRNA from 1 species
AUGGAGCUAAGCACAGCCACUCUCCUGUCUAUCUCUGUCGCCUCACUGGCGAUUCUUGUGUCGUUGCUUCGCCGCAAAUCGGCACCAAGCUCCAAGAGGAGGCGGCCUCCUGGUCCACGGUGUCUCCCCUUCAUCGGAAGCCUCCUCCACCUCCUUACCUCGGAGCCGCAGGUCGCUCUCCGGGACCUGGCGAAGAAGCACGGGCCGGUGAUGUACCUGCGGCUGGGCCACGUCGACACCGUCGUGAUCUCCUCCCCGGCGGCGGCACAGGAGGUGCUCCGGGACAACAGCCUCACGUUCGCGUCGCGGCCGAGCCUUGUGGUCACGGAGAUCCUAUGCUACGGGAACACUGACAUCGCCUUUGCGCCGUACGGCGCGUACUGGAGGACGCUGCGAAAGAUCUGCAUGGUGGAGCUGCUGAGCGCGCGGAAGGUGAGGCAGUUCGCGCCCAUCAGGGAUAGUGAGAUCCUUUCCCUUGUUAGGAAUGUCCGUGCUGCCGCCGGAGGUGGCGAGCCAGUAAAUCUCGGCGGACUGCUCGUGUCUUGCUCGAACACGAUCAGCGCAAAGGCGACGUUCGGUGAGGGAUGCGACGCCGACCUCCAGGAGCAGUUCUUGUCUGCGAUCGGCGUGGCACUGGAGUACAGCGGGGGGUUCUGCGUCGGGGACCUCUUCCCGUCCCUGUGGUUCGUGGAUGUCGUCACUGGAGUGAGACGCCGGCUCUGGCGAGCGCACAGGGUCCUCGACGCCGUCUUUGAGAAGAUCAUCACUAGGUGCGAGGCGCGGCGGAAGGAGAAGAAGUCAACGGCGACGACCGGCAGCGGAGAUGAUGACCUUCUGAGCGUCAUGCUCAGGAUCAAGGACGAGGACGGCCUUGAGUUCCCCAUCAGCACCACAAACAUCAAGGCAAUCAUAGUGGAUAUGUUCACGGGAGGAACCGAGACAACAUCAUCAGCAGCUGAGUGGAUCAUGUCGGAGCUCAUGCGGAACCCGGAGGUAAUGGCGAAGGCGCAGGCCGAGGUGCGACGAAAAUUCGACAACAAGAACCCACAAGACCACGAGAGCCUCAUAGAGGGGCUGUGCUACACGAGGAUGGUGGUGAAGGAGGGCAUGAGGUUGCACCCGGUGCUGCCGCUCCUGCUCCCACGUGUAUGCCGGGAGACCUGCGACGUUGGCGGAUUCGAGGUCACGGAGGGCACCAGGGUCAUGGUUAACGGGUGGGCGAUAGCGAGGAGUCCCGAGCAUUGGCAGGACGCCGAGGUGUUCAGGCCGGAGAGGUUCGUGGAUAGCACGGCGACAGACUACACCGGCACGCGGUACGAGUACUUGCCGUUCGGCGGUGGGAGGAGGAUGUGCCCCGGCGGUAACUUUGCGAUGGCCACGCUGGAGCUCACUGUGGCACGGCUUCUCUACUACUUCGACUGGAGCCUCCCCAACGGGAUUCGACCGGAGGAGCUCGACAUGGACAUGAUCGUCGGUGCAACGGCAAGAAGAAGGAACCAACUGCACCUAAUUGCAGCGCCCUAUAAUGUCCCAAUUGAUCUUUAA